rnacentral:rRNA from 1 species
CCUACGGGAGGCAGCAGUAGGGAAUUUUCCGCAAUGGGCGAAAGCCUGACGGAGCAAUACCGCGUGAGGGAUGACGGCCUGUGGGUUGUAAACCUCUUUUCUCAAGGAAGAAGUUCUGACGGUACUUGAGGAAUAAGCAUCGGCUAACUCUGUGCCAGCAGCCGCGGUAAUACAGAGGAUGCAAGCGUUAUCCGGAAUCACUGGGCAUAAAGCGUCUGUAGGUUGUUUAGUAAGUCUGCUGUUAAAGACUGGGGCUUAACCCCAGAAAAGCAGUGGAAACUGCUAGACUCGAGUGUGGUAGAGGUAGAGGGAAUUCCUAGUGUAGCGGUGAAAUGCGUAGAUAUUAGGAAGAACACCAAUGGCGAAGGCACUCUACUGGGCCAUAACUGACACUGAGAGACGACAGCUAGGGGAGCAAACGGGAUUAGAUACCCCGGUAGUCCUAGCCGUAAACGAUGGAUACUAGAUGUUGCACGUAUUAACCCGUGCAGUAUCGUAGCUAAGGCGUUAAGUAUCCCGCCUGGGAAGUACGCUCGCAAGAGUGAAACUCAAAUGAAUUGACCGGNUGAGCGNGCGAGNGACACGAGGAGAG